rnacentral:rRNA from 1 species
UUUGAUUUCCUUCGGGACUGAUUAUUUUGUGACUGAGUGGCGGACGGGUGAGUAACGCGUGGGUAACCUGCCUUGUACAGGGGGAUAACAGUUGGAAACGGCUGCUAAUACCGCAUAAGCCCACGGCUCGGCAUCGAGCAGAGGGAAAAGGAGUGAUCCGCUUUGAGAUGGCCUCGCGUCCGAUUAGCUAGUUGGUGAGGUAACGGCCCACCAAGGCGACGAUCGGUAGCCGGACUGAGAGGUUGAACGGCCACAUUGGGACUGAGACACGGCCCAGACUCC